UACGGAGGGUGCAAGCGUUAUCCGGAUUCACUGGGUUUAAAGGGUGCGUAGGUGGGCAAGUAAGUCAGUGGUGAAAUCUCCGGGCUUAACCCGGAAACUGCCGUUGAUACUAUUUGUCUUGAAUACUGUGGAGGUCAGCGGAAUAUGUCAUGUAGCGGUGAAAUGCUUAGAUAUGACAUAGAACACCAAUUGCGAAGGCAGCUGGCUACACAAAUAUUGACACUGAGGCACGAAAGCGUGGGGAUCAAACAGG
rnacentral:rRNA from 1 species